rnacentral:rRNA from 1 species
AGAACGAACGCUGGCGGCAGGCCUAACACAUGCAAGUCGAACGCCGUAGCAAUACGGAGUGGCAGACGGGUGAGUAACGCGUGGGAACAUACCCCUCGGUUUGGAAUAACUCAGGGAAACUUGAGCUAAUACCGGAUACGUCCGAGGUUUUAAUCGACCUUGGAGAAAGAUUUAUCGCCGGAGGAUUGGCCCGCGUCUGAUUAGCUUGUUGGUGAGGUAAUGGCUCACCAAGGCGACGAUCAGUAGCUGGUCUGAGAGGAUGAUCAGCCACAUUGGGACUGAGACACGGCCCAAACUCCUACGGGAGGCAGCAGUGGGGAAUAUUGGACAAUGGGCGAAAGCCUGAUCCAGCCAUGCCGCGUGAGUGAUGAAGGCCUUAGGGUUGUAAAGCUCUUUUACCCGGGAAGAUAAUGACGGUACCGGAGAAUAAGCCCGCUAACUCGUGCCAGCAGCCGC